rnacentral:rRNA from 1 species
GCCUACGGGGGGCAGCAGUGGGGAAUAUUGCACAAUGGGGGAAACCCUGAUGCAGCAACGCCGCGUGAAGGAAGACGGUUUUCGGAUUGUAAACUUCUGUUCUUAGUGAAGAAUAAUGACGGUAGCUAAGGAGCAAGCCACGGCUAACCACGUGCCAGCAGCCGCGGUAAUACGUAGGUGGCAAGCGUUGUCCGGAAUUACUGGGUGUAAAGGGAGCGCAGGCGGGAAGCCAAGUCAGCUGUGAAAACUACGGGCUUAACUUGGAGACUGCAGUUGAAACUGGGGUUCUUGAGUUAAGGAGGGGG